GUACACGCUGUGACUAGCAUAUCAAUAAGCGGAGGAAAAGAAACUAACAAGGAUUCCCCUAGUAACGGCGAGUGAAGCGGGAAGAGCUCAAAUUUGAAAUCUUAAAGGGUUUCCCUUUACGAAUUGUAGUUUAAAGAAGUGUUUUCUGUUGAGGUUUUGGUAAAAGUUCUUUGGAAUAGGACAUCAUAGAGGGUGAGAAUCCCGUAUUUGACCUUUACUUUCAACUUUGUGAUACACUUUCAAAGAGUCGGAUUGUUUGGGAAUGCAGUCCAAAAUGGGUGGUAAAUUUCAUCUAAAGCUAAAUAUUGGCGAGAGACCGAUAGCGAACAAGUACCGUGAGGGAAAGAUGAAAAGAACUUUGAAAAGAGAGUUAAACAGUACGUGAAAUUGUCAAAAGGGAAGCGUUUGACACCAGUGUUGUUUUUCUGAAAAUCAAUUAAAGAACUGUUUAUGCUAAGUUGUUUAGACUUUAUCAGCUAACUGUUUAGUUUUGAGCUUUUCUUUAAUGCACUUUUCAGUUAACAAGUCAACAUCAAUUUCUUUUGCUGUAAAAAAGCUUGAGGAAGGUGGCUUGAGAUUCGUCUUAAGUGUUUAUAGCCUCUUGCCUAUGCAGUCGGAGAGAUUGAGGUCUGCAGCGUAGAUCCUUCGGGGCUAAAUGCAUUUGUGCUAAGUUAUAGCAUUUUAUAGACAACUUGUUGACUAUGAUUUGUCUUGUAGCUUACUCGCUUAUGUUAUUUUACCUACGCUUAGGAUGUUGACUGAUAUGUAGUCGU
rnacentral:rRNA from 1 species